rnacentral:lncRNA from 12 species
GGAACAAUGUAUCACCAUGGGGACAGUCUCUGAUGACAGGUAGUUAAGUUCAUGAUAAAGAGCCCAAGAGAUGGCACCAGUGUGCUGCUAGGCAACCUCGAAGGGCUAAAAUCUAACCAAUCAGCCAACCAACAAACCCUUGGCUUCCAAGUCAAACUGCAGACAGAGCAUAUGGAUUGGUCUCCUCUACCCCUUGGAGAUCCACAAAGAGAAGGAGGACAAAGAAAAGCAGCAGGAAGAACAGGAGAAAAGUCAACAGCAAAAUAG